rnacentral:rRNA from 1 species
UACGUAGGGUGCAAGCGUUAAUCGGAAUUACUGGGCGUAAAGCGUGCGCAGGCGGUCCGUUAAGACAGAUGUGAAAUCCCCGGGCUCAACCUGGGAAUUGCGAUGGAGACUGCAAGGCUAGAAUCUGGCAGAGGGGGGUAGAAUUCCACGUGUAGCAGUGAAAUGCGUGAGAGAUGUGGAGGAACACCGAUGGCGCAAGGCAGCCCCUGGGUCAAGAUUGACGCUCAUGCACGAAAGGCGUGGGGAGCAAACAGG